rnacentral:piRNA from 1 species
UUCUGCCUCAUGUCUUUAUACUUACUUCCC